rnacentral:tRNA from 1 species
GUCCAGGUAACCUAGUGGACAUGGCAUGUGCCCGGUAAGCGGAACAUUGUGGGUUCGAUUCCCAUCUCUGGACA